rnacentral:rRNA from 1 species
AUUGAACGCUGGCGGCAGGCCUAACACAUGCAAGUCGAACGGUAACAGGAAACAGCUUGCUGUUUCGCUGACGAGUGGCGGACGGGUGAGUAAUGUCUGGGAAACUGCCUGAUGGAGGGGGAUAACUACUGGAAACGGUAGCUAAUACCGCAUAACGUCGCAAGACCAAAGAGGGGGACCCUCGGGCCUCUUGCCAUCGGAUGUGCCCAGAUGGGAUUAGCUUGUUGGUGGGGUAACGACUCACCAAGGCGACGAUCCCUAGCUGGUCUGAGAGUAUGACCGGCCACACUGGAACGGAGACACGGUCCAGACUCCUACGGGAGGCAGCAGUGGGGAAUAUUGCGCAAUGGGCGCAAGCCUGAUGCAGCCAUGCCGCGUGUAUGGAGAAGGCCUUCGGGUUGUAAAGUACUUUCAGCGGGGAGGAAGGGAGUAAAGUUAAUACCUUUGCUCAUUGACGUUACCCGCAGAAGAAGCACCGGCUAACUCCGUG